GGGGGCUAGCGUUGCUCGGAAUCACUGGGCGUAAAGCGCACGUAGGCGGCUUUCUAAGUCAGGGGUGAAAUCCUGGAGCUCAACUCCAGAACUGCCUUUGAUACUGGGAAGCUCGAGUCCGGAAGAGGUGAGUGGAACUCCGAGUGUAGAGGUGAAAUUCGUAGAUAUUCGGAAGAACACCAGUGGCGAAGGCGGCUCACUGGUCCGGUACUGACGCUGAGGUGCGAAAGCGUGGGGAGCAAACAGG
rnacentral:rRNA from 1 species